UACGAAGGGGGCUAGCGUUGCUCGGAAUCACUGGGCGUAAAGGGUGCGUAGGCGGGUCUUUUAAGUCAGGGGUGAAAUCCUGGAGCUCAACUCCAGAACUGCCUUUGAUACUGAGGAUCUUGAGUUCGGGAGAGGUGAGUGGAACUGCGAGUGUAGAGGUGAAAUUCGUAGAUAUUCGCAAGAACACCAGUGGCGAAGGCGGCUCACUGGCCCGAUACUGACGCUGAGGCACGAAAAGCGUGGGGGAGCAAAACAGG
rnacentral:rRNA from 1 species